rnacentral:sRNA from 1 species
GCACGAUGGACUCGCCUUGCAUUUAAAAC